rnacentral:lncRNA from 1 species
UCCGAACCGCAGCCUCCUCCCGAACUCYGGAUGAGCUCAUUUUGGCAGAGAACGUUGCUAACCUGCUGUCUUGGAUUUUCAUUUUUUGCAGCACAUCUCCGGUCUGUUUUCUAAGGGGAAAAUAAAGGCAGUGAAAUGAGAAGGUUGGUGGGAGGCCGAUCWGUCUCUCCAGUCCAGGCUAGUCAAGGUUUAGAAAGACUUGGAGACUGUGAACUUCCCAGGCAGAUCUAGGACAGCGUCAGAGCUUUGAGACUUGAGCAUCGCACAGAAGUGAACUUUGUCGCUGCGKAAAGGAGCAGCUUUCCUCCUCCAGGCAGACCGGGCUGGCACCUCUCGGAGGGGUGUUGGACAGUGGUUUUGUGGCUGUUGCUGCCUGCAAGGGAGAGGUCACCGAUGUGUUUCUUAAGCUCAAAAGAUGUAAAGCAGAAGUUAUCGUGGUACAGGACUGACCUUCACUGAGAGAUCCCUGAAGAGAGCAUUUACAUAACGGCUGCUCUUGGCUGCUGCUCCUGGCUGGACUCAUUAUUAUUUGCUCCUUACCUCCCUGAUCCAUGCAUUUCCUA